GAUGAACGCUGGCGGCGUGCCUAAUACAUGCAAGUCGAGCGAACAGACGAGGAGCUUGCUCCUCUGACGUUAGCGGCGGACGGGUGAGUAACACGUGGAUAACCUACCUAUAAGACUGGGAUAACUUCGGGAAGCCGGAGCUAAUACCGGAUAAUAUAUUGAACCGCAUGGUUCAAUAGUGAAAGACGGUUUUGCUGUCACUUAUAGAUGGAUCCGCGCCGCAUUAGCUAGUUGGUAAGGUAACGGCUUAACAAGGCAACGAUGCGGAGCCGACCUGAGAGGGGGAUCGGCCACACUGGAACUGAGACACGGUCCAGACUCCUACGGGAGGCAGCAGUAGGGAAUCUUCCGCAAUGGGCGAAAGCCUGACGGAGCAACGCCGCGUGAGUGAUGAAGGUCUUCGGAUCGUAAAACUCUGUUAUUAGGGAAGAACAAAUGUGUAAGUAACUAUGCACGUCUUGACGGUACCUAAUCAGAAAGCCACGGCUAACUACGUG
rnacentral:rRNA from 1 species